rnacentral:rRNA from 1 species
UACGUAGGGUGCAAGCGUUGUCCGGAAUUAUUGGGCGUAAAGAGCUCGUAGGCGGUCUGUCGCGUCGGCUGUGAAAACCCUCGGCUCAACCGGGGGCCUGCAGUCGAUACGGGCAGACUAGAGUGCUGUAGGGGAGACUGGAAUUCCUGGUGUAGCGGUGAAAUGCGCAGAUAUCAGGAGGAACACCGGUGGCGAAGGCGGGUCUCUGGGCAGUAACUGACGCUGAGGAGCGAAAGCGUGGGGAGCGAACAGGAUUAGAAACCCCAGUAGUCC